AAAAAGGCCGCUUUCGCGGCCAUAAAAAACAAAAAAACCAGACAAU
rfam:Mangrovibacter sp. MFB070 Contig-011, whole genome shotgun sequence.